CGCCAGACUCCUACGGGAGGCAGCAGUCGGGAAUAUUGCGCAAUGGAGGAAACUCUGACGCAGUGACGCCGCGUAUAGGAAGAAGGUUUUCGGAUUGUAAACUAUUGUCAUUAGGGAAGAAAAAAGACAGUACCUAAGGAGGAAGCUCCGGCUAACUACGUGCCAGCAGCCGCGGUAAUACGUAGGGAGCGAGCGUUAUCCGGAAUUAUUGGGUGUAAAGGGUGCGUAGACGGGAAAAUAAGUUAGUUGUGAAAUCCCUCGGCUCAACUGAGGAACUGCAACUAAAACUGUAUUUCUUGAGUGCAGGAGAGGAAAGUGGAAUUCCUAGUGUAGCAGUGAAAUGCGUAGAUAUUAGGAGGAACACCAGUGGCGAAGGCGACUUUCUGGACUGUAACUGACGUUGAGGCACGAAAGUGUGGGGAGCAAACAGGAUUAGAUACCCGGGUA
rnacentral:rRNA from 1 species